UUUGAGGCAAUAACAGGUC
rnacentral:siRNA from 1 species